GUGUCAGCAGCCGCGGUAAUACAGAGGGUGCAAGCGUUAAUCGGAAUUACUGGGCGUAAAGGGCGUGUAGGUGGCCAUUUAAGUCUGAUGUGAAAGCCCUGGGCUCAACCUGGGAAUCGCGUUGGAAACUGAGAGGCUAGAGUUUAAGAGAGGGUCGUGGAAUUUCCGGUGUAGCGGUGAAAUGCGUAGAGAUCGGAAAGAACACCAGUGGCGAAGGCGGCGACCUGGCUUGAAACUGACACUGAGGCGCGAAAGCAUGGGGAGCAAACAGGAUUAGAUACCCUGGUAGUCC
rnacentral:rRNA from 1 species